ensembl:lncRNA
CAAAACAGCAAAUGCCCCUUCUCUGGGACAUUUGGGAAAAUUGACCUCAAUUUUGCAAUAAUCUUCCCAUGAAUGAAGUUUUCCUUUCCAGUUCCUUUUUUUAAAAAAUAUUUAUUUCCUUAAUUCACUUAUGGCUGCACUGGGUCUUGCUGCUAUGCUCAGGCUUUCUCUGGUUGCAGCAAGUGGGGGCUCCUCUCUAGUUGCAGUGCACGGGCUUCUCUGAGGGGGCUUCUCUUGCUGUGGCUCCCGGGCUCUAGGCGCGUGAGCACCAGUAGUUGUGGCACAUGGGCUUAGCUGCCCUGUGACUGUGGGAUCUUCUUUUAAUUUCAGCAUGGGAACCCUUAGUUGUGGCAUGUGGGAAUCUUACUUAGUUCCUUGACCUGGGAUCGAACCCUUGUAUCCUGUAUUGAAAGGUGAAUCCUUAACCACUGGACCACCUGGGAAGUCCUCAUAUGAGUUCUUAAAAGCAGAGCACCUUUCCUGGCUGUGGUCAGAAAGAGACGGUAAUGAAAGAAGAAUCAGAAAGAUGCCGUGUUGCUGGCUUUGAAGAUUAAUGAAGGGGCCACAAAUCGAGAACUGCAGGCCACCUCCAGAAACUGAAAGAGCUUCUAGCUUCUCCCCUAAAGCUUCAAAAAAGGAAUUCAACCUUGCUGACACAAGGAUACUAACCCAAGGAGAGCCACACUGGACUUCAGACCCAUGGAAUGGUAAGAUAAUAAAUCUAUGCUGUUUUCAGGCCAUAUAUUUUGUGUAGUUAGUUCUGGCAGUGAUAGAUAUACUGAUAGAUAUAAUAAUAUUAAUAGAUAAACCAAUAUACUUUUUCCAUGAGUUUACGUAUCUGAGAGUUGAGAAACUCUGCUGUGUAAAUUCAGUCAACUACAUGGCUUCACAUGAUGGGUGGUCAUUAAUCAAAACCUCUUGAUUCUGGCUCCUGCUACUACUACCUGCUUGAUGCCCCAGUUCAGAUGCAGGAGAGGGAAUGAAAGAACACAUGAAUAAGUCACUCUGAUUGGCCCAGCUCGUGGUCCUUCACGCUGGGACCAUCUACAGGAUGCUUCCAGUUAGGGACUGGCUGUCCUAGAAUCAGCUUUGGCCAGAAGGCCCAUUGGGGGAUAUGAAACCUGGCCAGAGCAGGCUGCCCUUGUGGCUGGGACUAUGGAUGGGGAAGGCAUUGUGACUGGCAUCCUGGACAGGGUGCAGUGGUCCUUCAGGGGCCAGGGAAGACUUCAGAGAGGAGGAUGCUGUGGAGUUGAGACUGAAAGGUGGGUAUGGAUUUGCCAGGACCGAGUGGCAGAGGCCUGGUACAUCCCAGGCACUGAGGCUCAAGAGAGCAGAGCUGUGUGGGAGCUGGUGGCAACCUGCUUGGGAGCGGUGGAGACUGACUGAUAGCACUCUGGAGGGUGGACUAGGGAGGUCUGAAGCCAGACAGUAGGAGACAAUACUUGUCCCCCACUGUGACCCUGGAUUCUCUGAGGCCAGUGUGUGUUCAGUUGCCAAGUCGUGUCUUGACUUUGCAACCCCAUGGACUGUGGCAUGCAAGGCCUCCCUGUCCCUCACCAUCUCCUGGAGUUUGCCCAAGUUCACGUCCAUUGAAUUGGUGAUGCCAUCCAGCCAUCUCAUCCUCUGCCACCCCCUUCUCCUCAUGCCCUCUGUCUUUCCCAGCAUCAGGGUCAUUGCCAAUGAGCUGGCUCUUUGCAUCAGGUGGCCAAAGUAUUGGAGCUUCAGCUUCAGCAUCAGUCCUUUCAAUGAGUGUUCAGGGUUGAGGCCAGAGUCUGGACUUAAUUCCCAGCUUGGCUGGAAGAAGCGGGGAAAAGGAAGAGAAAUGAGGGAGAGAAGGUUCCAGAGAAGUUUUGAUGCACUAAAGAUGGUUGGGUGAGGAAUUUUCUUUGGAGAACUCUCUGAAAAGGAUUUUUUUUUUUUAAAGCUUCUCAUUUUUGGCAGCCCUUAGAAAGCAAAUUCUGAGAAUUAUCCAAGUCUGAAUAAGCUCACUCAUAUCUCAAAAUACUGAAAUUAC